CCUACGGGCGGCAGCAGUGGGGAAUAUUGGGCAAUGGGCGCAAGCCUGACCCAGCAACGCCGCGUGAAGGAAGAAGGCUUUCGGGUUGUAAACUUCUGUUCUCAGGGACGAAGAAAGUGACGGUACCUGAGGAAUAAGCCACGGCUAACUACGUGCCAGCAGCCGCGGUAAUACGUAGGGCGCAAGCGUAAUCCGGAUUUACGGGGUGUAAAGGGCGUGUAGGCGGGACUGCAAGUCAGAUGUGAAAACCACGGGCUCAACCUGUGGCCUGCAUUUGAAACUGUAGUUCUUGAGUACUGGAGAGGCAGACGGAAUUCCUAGUGUAGCGGUGAAAUGCGUAGAUAUUAGGAGGAACACCAGUGGCGAAGGCGGCUUACUGGACUGUAACUGACGUUGAGGCUCGAAAGCGUGGGGAGCAAACAGGAUUAGAUACCCCGGUAGUC
rnacentral:rRNA from 1 species